rnacentral:rRNA from 1 species
GUGGGGAAUAUUGGACAAUGGGCGAAAGCCUGAUCCAGCCAUGCCGCGUGUGUGAAGAAGGUCUUCGGAUUGUAAAGCACUUUAAGUUGGGAGGAAGGGCAGUAAGUUAAUACCUUGCUGUUUUGACGUUACCGACAGAAUAAGCACCGGCUAACUUCGUGCCAGCAGCCGCGGUAAUACGAAGGGUGCAAGCGUUAAUCGGAAUUACUGGGAGUAAAGCGCGCGUAGGUGGUUUUGUAAGUUGGGGGUGAAAUCCACGGGCUCAACCUGGGAACUGCCUCCAAAACUGCAUGACUAGAGUACGGUAGAGGGUAGUGGAAUUUCCGGUGUAGCGGUGAAAUGCGUAGAUAUAGGAAGGAACACCAGUGGCGAAGGCGACUACCUGGACUGAUACUGACACUGAGGUGCGAAAGCGUGGGGAGCAAACAGGAUUAGAUACCCCGGUAGUCC